AGUAGGCCUUAUUAUCCACAGAGUAAUGGGGAAGCUGAGAGAGCAGUCAAAACAACCAAGGACUUGCUGAAAAAGGAAGGUGACUCCUACUUAUCACUACUCACAUACACAGUCUUUUCACCAAAUGCAGAUCACGUGAGAAUUUAUUUUCCCCGUGACGUCAUAAUGGCGGGAAAGUAAUGGCUGGCCUUGUGUUGCUUUUUGUGCAAUUGAUAUGAUGCUGGAUGGUUUAUAGUUCUAUAUAACAGCCUCAAACUGAAAGCAAGGAUGUGUAGAAUCAUUAGUGAAACAGACCAGAACUGUUCAAUAUUAGUGAUGCAAUUGGCCAAUCAAUAGAUGACCUUGUAUGCAAAGAUUUGUUUUGAUACUUUUGUUGCAAAUGACAGGGGCAUCGGGAUGCUGUAAAAUCCGGACUGCGGAAUAACGGAAUACGGAAUAACUGGAAUUUUGUAGCUACUUUUGAAUUUUAAUUUUUUUUAAUUUGAAGUAUCAUCACGUGAUAUGCCAUGCACCAUUGAACCCGUUUUUUGUGAUAAACA